UCCGCCCAUAGCUCAAUUGGUAGAGCAGUUGACUUUUAAUCAAUUGGUUGUAGGUUCGAGUCCUACUGGGCGGAUC
rnacentral:tRNA from 15 species